AUUGAACGCUGGCGGCAUGCCUUACACAUGCAAGUCGAACGGUAACAGGUCUUCGGAUGCUGACGAGUGGCGAACGGGUGAGUAAUACAUCGGAACGUGCCUAGUAGUGGGGGAUAACUACUCGAAAGAGUGGCUAAUACCGCAUGAGAUCUACGGAUGAAAGCAGGGGAUCGCAAGACCUUGUGCUACUAGAGCGGCCGAUGGCAGAUUAGGUAGUUGGUGGGAUAAAAGCUUACCAAGCCGACGAUCUGUAGCUGGUCUGAGAGGACGAUCAGCCACACUGGGACUGAGACACGGCCCAGCCUCCUACGGAGGGCAGCAGUGGGGAAUUUUGGACAAUGGGCGCAAGCCUGAUCCAGCAAUGCCGCGUGCAGGUAGAAGGCCUUCGGGUUGUAAACUGCUUUUGUCAGGGAAGAAAUCUUCUGGGCUAAUACCCCGGGAGGAUGACGGUACCUGAAGAAUAAGCACCGGCUAACUACGUGCCAGCCGCCGCCGUAA
rnacentral:rRNA from 1 species